rnacentral:rRNA from 1 species
CCAAUAGCGUAUAUUAAAGUUGUUGCAGUUAAAAAGCUCGUAGUUGAAUUUCGGGAUUAGCAGGUCGGUCGUGCCACUGGUACGUACUGGUCUUGCUGAUUCCUCCCUCUUGACGAGCCGUAAUGCCAUUAAUUUGGUGUUGCGGGGAAUCAGGACUGUUACUUUUAAAAAAUUAGAGUGUUUAAAGCAGGCAUGAGCUUGAAUACAUUAGCAUGGAAUAAUGAAAUAGGACGUUCGAUCUUAUUUUGUUGGUUUCUAGGAUUGACGUAAUGAUUAAUAGGGAUAGUUGGGGGCAUUAGUAUUCAAUUGUCAGAGGUGAAAUUCUUGGAUUUAUUGAAGACUAACUACUGCGAAAGCAUUUGCCAAGGAUGUUUUCAUUAAUCAAGAACGAAAGUUAGGGGAUCGAAGACGAUCAGAUACCGUCGUAGUCUUAACCAUAAACUAUGCCGACUAGGGAUCGGAUGAUGUUAAUUUUUUAAUGACUCAUUCGGCGCCUUACG